GUUUGCCCAUGGUAUCUGACACCCAUGCUAUUUUCUAUGGAUGGGUGUUUCGUUUUUAAGGGCAUAGAUUGAAAGUGUGAACAGGCCUUGCGACACAGCUUGCUCAAUUUUUUUAAUGGGCUUCCUGUUACUUUAAUCCUGCUUACAUUU